AUUGAACGCUGGCGGAAUGCUUUACACAUGCAAGUCGAACGGCAGCACGGACUUCGGUCUGGUGGCGAGUGGCGAACGGGUGAGUAAUGUAUCGGAACGUGCCCAGUCGUGGGGGAUAACGUAGUGAAAAUUACGCUAAUACCGCAUACGAUCUAUGGAUGAAAGCGGGGGAUCGCAAGACCUCGCGCGAUUGGAGCGGCCGAUAUCAGAUUAGGUAGUUGGUGGGGUAAAGGGCCACCAAGCCAACGAUCUGUAGGUGGUCUGAGAGGACGCCCAGCCACACUGGAACUGAGACACGGUCCAGACUCCUACGGGAGGCAGCAGUGGGGAAUUUUGGACAAUGGGCGAAAGCCUGAUCCAGCCAUUACGCGUGCAGGAUGAAGGCCCUCGGGUUGUAAACUGCUUUUGUACAGAACGAAAAGGUUUCUACUAAUACUAGGAGCUCAUGACGGUACUGUAAGAAUAAGCACCGGCUAACUACGUGCCAGCCGCCGCAGUAA
rnacentral:rRNA from 1 species